CCUACGGGGGGCGGCAGUGGGGAAUAUUGGACAAUGGGCGCAAGCCUGAUCCAGCCAUGCCGCGUGAGUGAUGAAGGCCUUAGGGUUGUAAAGCUCUUUCGCACGCGACGAUGAUGACGGUAGCGUGAGAAGAAGCCCCGGCUAACUUCGUGCCAGCAGCCCCGGUC
rnacentral:rRNA from 1 species